UAAGGAAACAAUUAUCAUCUUCAGUU
rnacentral:misc_RNA from 1 species